rnacentral:rRNA from 1 species
UACGGAGGGUGCGAGCGUUGUCCGGAAUCACUGGGCGUAAAGGGCGCGUAGGCGGCUCAUGAAGGCUGUGGUGAAAGUCCGGGGCUCAACCUCGGAUCGGCCGUGGCGACUCGUGGGCUGGAGCACUGUAGAGGCGGGUGGAAUUCCUGGUGUAGCGGUGAAAUGCGCAGAUAUCAGGAGGAACACCAAUUGCGAAGGCAGCUCGCUGGGACGUAACUGACGCUGAGACGCGAAAGCGUGGGGAGCAAACAGG